rnacentral:rRNA from 1 species
GAUGAACGCUAGCGGCAGGCCUAACACAUGCAAGUCGAACGGUAACAUGAGUAGCAAUACUUGAUGACGAGUGGCGCACGGGUGCGUAACGCGUAUGCAACUUACCUCUAACUGGAGAAUAGCCUUCCGAAAGGAAGAAUAAUACUCCAUAAUAUUACGAUGUGGCAUCACAUUGUUCUUAAAGCUUCGGCGGUUAGAGAUGGGCAUGCGUCUGAUUAGCUUGUUGGUGAGGUAACGGCUCACCAAGGCAACGAUCAGUAGGGGGCCUGAGAGGGUUAUCCCCCACACUGGUACUGAGACACGGACCAGACUCCUACGGGAGGCAGCAGUGAGGAAUAUUGGUCAAUGGACGAAAGUCUGAACCAGCCAUGCCGCGUGCAGGAUGAAUGCCCUAUGGGUUGUAAACUGCUUUUAUAUAGGAAUAAACCCCUUUACGUGUAAAGGGCUGAAGGUACUAUAAGAAUAAGGACCGGCUAACUCCGU